CUCGUGCCAGCUCCGCCUGGAGUCACCUCGAUCACCCUGCUUCACCCUCCUGCGCACAGCACAGGCUUGGUCGCAGCCCGUGGGCAGCUGACUACAGCUGUAGGCAGAUGGGAUCUCUGCUACCUCGGUUUCUGACCGGAGUUAAGAGCUGCUCAAGUUCUGCGUGAACAGCAUCAGAGCUCUAGCCAAGAGACCCUGGACUCCCCUGCGCUGCAGAAAGCAGACCACCUUCCCCACCGUUCAAAGGGAUGAAAUCCCAUGUUUCACCUCUCUCAUGCUGUUGUUACUGCAGUGAACGCUUCCUACCCUGUUUAUCUUUGUCAGGCAAGACAAAGAGCUCUGAUAUAUGCUGACCUUAUACAGUAAAUGUCAGUGAUUUCUACCAUAUGCUGGUAUUGACCACUGAUACGAUCAUCAAAAAGAACAACAGAAAGGAGCAAAUGCAGCAUUAAAACAAAAACGCUCUCUUGAGCCCUGUAGGUGUUCAGCAGUAAAGGGCAACAGUAUUACCAAAUCACUACAAGAGUUAACCUAUUUUUGAGUCCUGUAGGAAGCAGCCUGCCUUGCAAACGUGUGCCAACCUAAGCGUGCACGUACAUACUCAGUUGAACAUGAAGAAGGUGCAAUGCAUACUUAAAAUGUUUUCCCAAACCAGGACUCUAAAGGUAUGAAACACUUAAGUAUUGUAAGUCAUGUCAUAUACUUCAAAGUUAAAUACAAAAGCAUACUUCCUACCUGUCUGAUCUGCAAUAUAGCUAAAUAAGUACUCUCGGAUUUUUACAGGCUGUAAAACAGAAAGCUGCCCAAAUCCUUCCUCCUCUUGGGUUUUUUUGGGGUUUUUUUUUGGUUUUUUUUGUUUUUUUUUUAAAACAUUCCUGGAACUAUGAUAAACCAGAUGACAAGGGAAUUAACAAGGGAAGAAACCUUGAAAAGCUAAAUCUAGUACAAACACACAUAUAAUGGAUCACUGGGAAAAAUCAAAUAUUAUUAAAAAUAAAAAACUCUCUGGGCAUGUGUACAGAAGGUGACUGUGCAGUCAUUAAAAACAGCAUGAGAAAAA